rnacentral:rRNA from 1 species
GACGAACGCUGGCGGCGUGCCUAAUACAUGCAAGUCGAGCGGACUUUCAAGAAGCUUGCUUUUUGAAAGUUAGCGGCGGACGGGUGAGUAACACGUGGGCAACCUGCCUGCAAGACGGGGAUAACUCCGGGAAACCGGGGCUAAUACCGGAUAAUAUCUUCCUUCGCAUGAAGGAAGGUUGAAAGGCGGCGCAAGCUGCCGCUUGCAGAUGGGCCCGCGGCGCAUUAGCUAGUUGGUGAGGUAACGGCUCACCAAGGCGACGAUGCGUAGCCGACCUGAGAGGGUGAUCGGCCACACUGGGACUGAGACACGGCCCAGACUCCUACGGGAGGCAGCAGUAGGGAAUCUUCCGCAAUGGACGAAAGUCUGACGGAGCAACGCCGCGUGAGCGAAGAAGGUCUUCGGAUCGUAAAGCUCUGUUGUCAGGGAAGAACAAGUACUGUUCGAACAGGGCGGUACCUUGACGGUACCUGACCAGAAAGCCACGGCUAACUACGUG